AUUUGGAAGGGCCACAUAUGGAUGAGAUAAGAGGUGAGGAAUUCUCAAGAAAGGAGGGGAAGACAUUCAUUCAUUUAUCCAACAGAUAUUUAUUGAGUUGCCUCAAGCCAGAUAUCGUUUUAUAUUCUGAGGAUAUGGCAGUGAAAAUAUUCCUGCUCUCCUGAAAUUUAUGUUGUAGGGAUGGAAGUUAGGAAAGGACUAUUUUCCUUCCCUAGCCUGAGAUGGCCCCAAUAUGACAAGAUAUUAGUAAAAGCAGCAUGAAUAACCAUGGCUGUGUUUGGCUAUGGUUAACUCAAGAGUCUUCUGUCUGCUAAAUUUGAAUAUUUUGUGUCAAGGACACUUUUUACACCAUAAUUUUGAUUUUGAUGUUAAUCUUCUUCAUGCAUUCCAAACUGCCCUCUACGGAAUGGACCUCACUCACAUUAAAUUCCUAAUUUUCUUUUACUUUGUCGGGACGUUUUGUGAGUGUUGUAACUAUGUGCAUUUUUUUUUUUUAAUAAUUGAGAAAGGGUCUCCCCUUUUGUGUUUGGCAUAACAUGGGUCUUAAAGGGUAAGUAGAAAUUUAGAAAGAGGGAACUAAGUAGCAGGAAAGUCCUGUUUGGCUCUGGGAGCCCCCAAGGUCUUGCCUAUUUCAAAAUGCACUCCUUGAUGGUUGCAAAAUAUUGAUAUUGUGGCACUCCUUUGUGUUGGAGGGGUGUUGGAGAGAAUGAAUUUCCAUUUUCGAACUGCUGCUGCCUAGCUGUGUGUUUUAGUUAGUUUUGUGACACUAACCAAAAGACCUGAAGAGAACAACUUAGAGGAGGAAAAGCUUAUUUUGACUUAGGGUUUCAGAAGUUCAGUUCAUAGCACUGGCCCAAGAUGAAGCAGAGCAUUGUGGUGGAAGGGCAUGGCUGAAGGAAGCUGCUCAGGAUAUGACAACCAGGAAGCAGAGGGAGAGAGUUCUGCUCACCAGGAACAAAAUAUAAACCCCAAAGGCACACCCCCAGUGAUCUUCUUCUAGCCACACCCUAUCUGCCUGUAAUUACUGCCCAGAUUCAUCUACCAAUUAAGUUAAUGCUCUUAUAACCCAGUCAUUCCACCUCUGAACAUUCUUACAUCAUCUCACAUGUGAACUUUUGGGGGAUACCUCAUAUCUAAAUUAUAACACUGUGUGAUCUUAAGCAAAUCACCUUUUUUUUUCAGAUUUUCUAUUAUUAUUUUUUUUGUACCAUACAAUUUUAUAUUUUUUUAGUCAUACAUGACAGCAGAAUGUAUUUUGACAUAUAAUACAUACAUGGAAUGUACAUACAUCAAUCAUAUUGUCUAUUCUAUUCUGCUGCCCAACAAAUUACCUUCUUAGAGCCUCAAUUUGUUUACCUAUAAAAAUAGGUUUAUAAUACCAACCUGUCAUAGAGAUAUUAAAUGAGGAAUAAAUGCAAUAACUUAUACAAAUUAUUUUUCAUGGUUCCUUCUGCUAAAUACCUCCUUGAGUGAAAGCAUUGCUAAAUGCUCCCUAGCACAGUAGAAAUUGUGUUAUCUGGGAGAGGAACUUCUGACCCAGUAAACUUGUUAAUGCAUGUGCUUGAAUUAGUGAUAUUAACUUUUUGUUAAUUAAAUAACUAGACUUCAGGGAAUAGUAUAAAGAACAAGUUUCAAUUUAGGAACAGGUGGUUGGGAAAUGUCUGUGGGAUGGGCUCAUAUAUGUGGGUAGGACCAAAUGAAGUGUGGACUGAGGGGAUGGUAUACAGUGCUAAAUGCCAGGGGAGUGCUAUAACUAGGGCAGCAAACACUGGGAAUCUGGAAACAAACUCUGUUUCUCUCAUCAUUUGUCUGGGUUUGUGUUUGUUUAUAGCUGAGUCCUCCCGUUUUCACAGUGAUUCUGAAGACCCUGAUCACCUGCUCAGCACUGACCUGAAGAACUCUUUUCAGGGAUGGACCCAUUGGAUACCAAAAGUGGUUUGGAUAAUCUGUCCAACUAUUCUUGAUAAGUUAUCUGAAUAAUAAUAAAAAACUCAACAGAAGAGGUAACCAUUUAAGUAUUUUAUUAUUAAUUUUGAAGAUGUUUGCCAUACUUUUAUGUUACAGAAGAGUAAGGUACAGAAAAUUUGAGGAACUUUUUUUUAAAAAUUGCAUCAGGAUCAGAAGUGUAGGUCUUAUAUCUGACUAUUGGCCUGAGAUUUCAUUUCUAGAAUUCUGAAAUCCCAAAAGCUCUAAAAACCAGAAUCAUUUCUGUUUUGUUUUUCCAAUUUUUUAUUGUGGUAAAAUACACAAUAAAAUUUAUCCUCUUAACCAUUCUGAAGGUAUAAUAUCCCACCAUCACCAUCAUCCAUCUCUAGAACUCUACAUUUUAUAAAACUGCAACUCUGUACCCAUCCAUUAAACAUUUCCCCAGUCUCUGUACCCUUAGCCCCUGGCAAACACUGCUUUGUUUUAAAAAAUAAGUUUAGAAUUAAAACUAAGUUGACAGCUAAGCCUGACUCAAAUUGAUUAAUUUUACUCCUGAUUUACUCCCUAUGUGGUAUGUAUUUGAGUAUAUUCAUAUAUUUUGCUUCAGAAAUAUUAAUAUAUUUAAUUAUUAGGGACUUCCCCAGAUCCCACUGGAAAUAUAAAGUUGUUCUUAUAUGUAUUACUUCAACAAGCAAACACUUUCUGAGUUCUGAAACAUAUCAGACCUCUGGGAUUUGGUUAGGGAUUGUAGGACCUACAAUAUACUAAGGUUACUAGUAUUGUUUUAUUAUUUAAAAUUCUGUUUUAGUUUAGCUGACCUUAAGAUCUGAAAAUUCAUUUUUGAAAAAUAUAAACUCAUUCAACAUUGUAGACAUUUGCUUAAAGCCCCCGUUUUCAGGAAGCGUGUUCAACCUGUCUUAAGCCCCUCUUGGAGGAUCCUUUAUCUUUACCUUCUCCAAAUGAUACCCCUGUAGGUGUGGAGGAGGGGGUGUGUGUUUGCUGGGGGGAGUAUGCUGGGAUCAAAUCUAGGCCUAGGCCUUGUGUGUGCACUACCACUCACAUGUCCCAGUCCUGAUGUCUGUUUCUUAAACAGAUUUUGAACUCUGUUUUGGUUUAGAGCCCUACCACCAUCUCCAGAUCUUCCAAUUCCUGGGAUUUAACCACUGCCUCCCCAAACCUCCCAAACUAACCUUCUUUACAUUUUAGUAUGGGAGGUUUUAAGGAGGGGGUGAAAGUUAAUGCUUAUGUUCAAUCUGCCAUCUUUAUUAAAUAUUUAUUUAUUUGCUUUGUUUAAAGUAACUCAAUAUUUUCUGUAUGUUCAUUUUAUAUACUUUCUGUAUGUUCAUCUUUUCUUGACAGAGACCCUAGUCUUCAGUGUUUGGUGGUCCUCUUCAGGCUCCUAGAGCUAUUGUGAAAGUGUACUUGACUUUGGCCCAGAAUGUGAUUGUUUUAGCACAGAUCUGACUGGUAUUAGUGUUGUGACAUAUUCUGCAUUACUGUUUUUUUUUCUUGUUUGUCUUCCCCUAAUGUCUUCCUCAGGCUUCUAGAGGAAGGAUGAGGAAAGAGCCAGGAGGGAAGCAGAAUCAGGGGAAGGGGAAGGACAGCCAAUCAGGAGUGGGACUUUGGCAUUUGACAAAUUAUUGCUUUCUUAUAUACUUUCAACAGGAAAGCAUCUGAGGCUUUCUGGUUAAUAUAUUAGAAUCUGCAUCAUCAUAACUAUACCUAAGGAUAGUAUUAGAAAUAUUUAAUGAUGGGUAUGUUGUGGGCAGUGACCAGUUAUGGAGCACCUUUAUGCUGUGCUGAUGUAUAUAUAUAUCCAGGCUUAUACUUGGGUAUAGCAUGCCCCAGCUUUCUACAACUAUCUCCCGCUUUUAUUGCCUUUCCCUAAUUUCUGGAAUGGAGCUUUAGAGAAAUGGGUUUGGGCUAUUUUUCCUCCUUCCAGGCUCCCUCCAUGAAGCUUAAACCAAAUGUCCCUGUGCAUAGUGGCAAUAUUAGAUGCUGUGGAAUUGGAAGGUAAUGGUCCUUCCCAUAGGGGAAGUCUCUGUUAUAAGAGUGAAAUAUGGAAUUCAGAAGUAAGUGUGUGCGUGUGUGUGCGCGCGCGUGCACUCGUGCAUGUGUGUAUGGUGUAUGUGUGUGUCUUGGGGGUGUGGGUAUGUUAUCAAAACCAGACUUAGCCAAAGGAGAUUUCUGUACUGGCAGAUUUAUCCAUUAGUUUUUCUUACCUCCCCUUCUCCUUCU
rnacentral:lncRNA from 1 species